AGUUUUAAUGGGAAUGUUUUUCAAGAUCAGGCUGAUUCCAGCUAAUUUAUAAUCUCAAACACUCAGAUUUUUUUUUUUUUUGUGAGAAUAGAAUUUGUCCUCUUUUCUUUUUGUAGUAAUUAACAUUUUUUUUUAGUUUUUCAAUUUUUGGAAGCUAGUUUUUUGAAGAAAAAAAUUGUAAAUUAUAAAGAAGUUCUCGUAUAUCAUAGCUAUGGUGCACAUUAUUUAAAGAAAAUUUAAUUAUAUAAUAAGUGAAGAAGAGGUCCUACAGUGUAGAAACAAUGGUAAUAGUUAUAUGAUAAAUUUUCUGAUGAUAGUUAAUGAAAUUAUUAUAUAAAAAAAAUAGAAAACAUUUUAUAGAAGGAUAAAAAAAAAUAAAAAUAUAACUUCACGUUCCUUUUGGCAAUUAACAAAUACAAUAAACAAUGAUUCUUGAAGGUUGUAACACUUAUUUGAUGUCAUGAGUGAAUCAGUGGUGAUAAAAAGUAGCAACCCCAACUUUUUUUCUUUUUAAUGCGCUGGACAAAAGAGAUGUGAAAGAAUCCACAAAAAUUUCGUGUGAUGAGAUGAGAUUUCUAUCUUUGUAUUUUUGAAGGAGAAUCCAUCAAAAUCCAUAGAGUUUUAAAAUCCACGAACUUUUGAAUACCUAAGGAUUUUUUUAAGAAUUUUUAAAAUCCACAUUGAAUACCUCUAGAUUUUUAAAGAGUUUUAAAAAAUUGAAUUGAAUACCCCCAAACUUUCAAAGUUCAAAAAAAUUCUACAGACUCUACAACCAAUACACCCCCUUAAGUGAUCCACAUUGAAUACUUCCAGAUUUUUAAAGAGUUUUAAAAGUUUGAAUUGAAUAUCCCCAAACUUUCAAAGUUAAUCCUACAGACUCUACAACCAAUACACCCCCCUAAGUGAGGGUUCGUCUGCUGUAGAAGAAAUAGUUUAGGAUUCAUCGUAUUACUGUUGUUGCUGCGUGAAUUGAAAAUGAUGGGAGAGGAGAUGUUUAUUCAUUGGGAGAUUCUAUUCGUAACCCUCAUUUUACUCUUUAUAGCCCCUUAUAUAAAAUAUUAAUAAUAAAUAAUUACUCAAUCCGUCCACAAUUUAAUGCCCUACUUGCCUUUAAAAAUUUGUCCACAAUUUAAUGCCCUAUUCUGUUUUUUGUACCCUUUUACUCUUCUUUUUUUCCUAUAUUCACUACCAUUUGCCACUAAUGGACCUACCUUAAAACACAUUUAUCAUUUUUAUAUUUUAUAUUUACUACACUUUAUGACUAGUGGACCCACUCACAACACUUUUAUCACUUUAGUCAACUAUCGUUAUCAUUUUAGUUAACUACCAUUAUAUUUCAUCCACAUCACCUUUUUCAGCUUUCUUAGUCUCCGUGCCCACACCAUAGUGGGGCAUUAAAUCGUGGACGGAGAGAGUAUAAAUUUAUUAUUUUACCCUCUAAUCUAUAGCCCCCAAUAAUUAAAUUAAAAUCAAUCAUCACAUUUUCAAAAUCAACAUUUCGCCUAUUCCCCUACAAUUUUUUUUUACAGCAAGACUUAUAUUCCCAAGAAAAUCUUCUUCAUUUGUUUUCCUGUUGUUCAUCACAUGAAAAAGCAAAGCUUUUUGACUGACGAACGAACAUCCUUCAAUAGCAGACAAAGGAUUGACGCUCAAUCUUCGUUUUCCAGAUUGAGAUUAGCCCCCCCCCCCCCUUUCAGAAAAUCAACUAAUCUAUAGCCCCAGUCAUCAUCACUCCCUUUUCACAUUUUAAUGUCCCACUAUGUAGAGUUUGUUAGAUAUAAAUUUGUUAGUGAUAAUGAUCAGAUUGCAGGUAUAUGAGUACGUGAACAACGCGAACCUUGAGCAAUGGCUUUAUGGAGCUAUGCCCCUCAUGGGCAGUUGCCCACCUUACAUAGGAGAUUAGGAGGGAUGAAUGAAGAUUCUGCUGGGCACAGCUAAAGGGUGAAUAAUGAAAGCAAGCUUAAUUAAUUUUGUUUAGAUUUUACAAUUAAUUACUAGUGAUUAUUGCAGUACUGCACAUCUGUACGAUGCGAUUGAGCCCAAAGUUGUUCAUCGAAACAUUAAAGCAAGAAUUAUACUGAUCGACGAGGAUUUGAAUAUGGAGAAGAGAUUUUGCAUAUGAAAGCAUAAAAUUAUAUUGUUUGGGGGCUAUAAGAUGUAGGGUAUUUAAUUUGCGGGCUAUGAGCUUUAGGGUAAAAUAAUAAAUUCAUAAUUAUUUAUUAUUAUUAUUUUAUGUGGGGGGCUAUACUGAGUAAAACGGGGGUUAUGAAUAGAAUCACUCUUAUUCAUUUUGUUUCAUUUGUUGGGCUUUUUCUGUGUGGUAUUGGAUUAUAGUUGGGCUAUAAUAUAGGGUCCUGAUUAUUUUAAGUGGGUUGCUUUUGGAGUUUCGUUUGACAAUAAAGAUUAGGGUGAUUCUAAUCACAGCUCCUAUUUUACUCUUUAUAGCCUCUUAUAUAAAAUAAUAAUGAAAAAAUAAUUAUAAAUUUAUAAUGUUAUCCUACAAACUAGGGAUAUCAAUCGGGCCAGCCCUAUCGGGUUUCGGGUUAAUCGGGUGCGGGCUAAUCGGGCUGGGGAUUUUGUCGGGUUAUAAAUUUUCAACCCUAACCCUAAAAGUUCGGGUUUCGGGCUAGCCCAUCGGGCUAGUCGAUUUAAAUGUGUAAAAAUAAAAUAAUCAUUUAUAUUUUGUUAUUUUUAAUGAUCUAAUGUAUAAUGUAUAAAAUAUACAUAGAAAUCAAAGAUAUAAAUUAUAUAGCAAGCAUGAAAUGCAAAAAAUAUAAGAUAUUGAAAAAAACUCAAGAUACAUAACAUAUAAAAUAAGUUGGUACAAUAAAAUUUCAACUUUGUACGAAAAAACAAUAAAAUACCAAAAUAAUUUGAAUUCAUAGAAGCAAAACAUCUAAAAAAUACAGAAAAGUGAAAUGAUGAGACUUUAAUUAUAAUAUUUUGUAUUUUUUAUUUUUAUAUCUAAAUAUUAAUAUUAAGUAUUCGGGUUUCGGGCUAGCCCAUCGGGUUAGUUGGGCAGACCCUAUCGGGUGACGGGCUAUUCGGUUACGGACUAAUCGGGUUGUAACUUUUAUCGAGUUGAAAAUAUUCAACCAUAACCCUCUCGGAUGGCGGGUUAAUCGUGCCAGCCCACGGGUUUCGAGUUAGAUUGACAUCACUACAAACUAUAGCCUCUAAAUUAAAUAUAAUUCCUUUUUUCAGCUAAAUUAAAUCGUGUAUAGCCCUUACCCUUCAAGAAAAAAAAAUGGCGUAUAGCCCCCAUUCAAAAUGCCCCCCCUCAUCUUCUUCCUAAAUCAACCACAAACGCCUCCUCCUUUUCCGGUGAAGAUUGCCGCCGCUUCGACCACCACCACCGGCGCCUCUCCUUCCACUCUUUUUCGCGACCCAGUCACGCACACACCCAAAGAGACACCACCUCACCCUUCUUCCUAAAUCCACCGCCACUGCCCCUUUCAGAUUCUCGGCAAACAGCAGUGGCACGGUUGCUCCGUCGCCCAGAGCCUCCUCACCUCUUGUUCUUUGACUCACGUCCCUCAUCUCUCUAUAAAACCUUAGAUCCCCAAAUCUGCCACCGCCAUCUCCCUCGGUUUCCGGCGAGUCGAGCCGCCGUCGGUGUUGUCGACCAACAACAACAGCCAAAACAGAGGAACAACUUUUAUAAAGCGAAGAGAGAGAGAGAGAGAGAGAGAGAUGACAAGGACGAAAAUAGAGUUAAAGGUGGAGUCUUGGUGUAAAAGGAGACGUGUUUUCACCCAGAAAUAGAAUAAAAUAGGGGAAAACGAAAAAACCUAUGAAGAGUGAAGAAAAAAGGAUGAUGCUUUGUUUUGGUUCUCUUCUGCAACAGAAUGGAAAGUAAGAAAAAUGCAGGUCAUUCUUGUUAAAAGUGUCCCACAUUGGUUGGAGAUAGUGGCAUGCGCCACUUUAUAUGGUGAGACAACCAUCUCCCUUAUAAGGCCUUUUAAGGGAGGAAUGGACUCAAUAUCCAUUUCUAAUAUGGUAUCAGAGUCAACCCAAUCCAAUGAUGGGCCCCCCAUUAUCGUUGUCAACAGAUAGCGUUUGGGAU
rnacentral:lncRNA from 1 species